rnacentral:lncRNA from 1 species
GCAGGGUCAUUCCACGGGGUUGGGGCAACAGCACUUUUUUGUGUUCCUUAUGAAUUGUUAGCUUUAUCCUGAAAAUGUGUUUGGUGUUUUGAUGUUGCAAUGUGGUUUUGUUGGAAGGCAGUUAUGUAAGCAAUUACUUGAUGCAGAAAGAAAAAUGUUGAACUGCAAGUAUUAUUGAUGGUGAGACUUUAAAUGAUGAUGUCCAGACUCUUUUUUGGGGUACCAAGUGUGACAUCCAAAAUGGUCAUUUUCAGUUGAAGAUAUCUAAUCAAAAGAUAAACUUAGUCAAAUUCAAAUGGCCAUAAUUGAUAAAGCAACAUUUGUUUAAUAACAAAACAGUAAUGGGAUAGCAAAUGAAAAGAGACUUCAUAUCAUAAAUCAUUCCUACAACUCGGCAUACCACCGUUACAUGCGAUGUCCACGUUUGUUUUUUUCUGUAACGGCGGUAAUGUGGUAAAUAUCUAAAAAUCAGAAAUCAUUCUUUCCAAAGUUAUGUGUCAGAAAUAAAGGCCAGACAGUAAGCAAAUUUUCAUCAAAAGAUUAGCUUUGAAAACCUACGGUAAUGUCAUGUAAAUUAAUCGAGGGUCGCCGAUGUUUUGGGCGAUGUCCGGGUCAAAUUUGUAACGGUGGAUCACAUUUCAUCGCGUAUGUAAGAAGGAGACUCCGGAGAAGAGACCGUCGUUGUAUCAGACGGACGGGAUGUUAGCCGCGAUCCACAUGCACAUGAACAGCCACGAUAUCGGGCGUUUUGAAGCAUCGCAGUUGGGAAUCUUCCUGCAAUGUCCGUGAAACGGUGGAUUGGAUCUCCACGAUGUUUUCCCUUUCAAAGCGACGUAGCCUCUGUUGAAGGUUAAAAUGUAUAUCUUCAGUACAUGAAGUGUCAAUCUGGUGACCUGUACUCCUGGCCUGAUGGCGAGGCACAAUUCUACCUCUCUCCAUUUUGUGACAUUGACAGAAUCCUCUUCCAAACUGACACAGUUGUCAUUGGGUCACCGAUCUUCUUGAAGUUCAUAAACUUGUAACCUGAAUGCAGAGAGAAAUAUUGCAUGUUAUUUCUAAUAGUCAGGUUUAGUGUACAGUGUAAUACAUUUUUUACAUUUGCCAGUAAGAAGUUUACCAUAUAGUUUUUAACUAAAGGAAAAGAUUGUACUUUGCAGUUUUAUACUUGAACAUUUAUUAGAAUAGCUUUGUAGAAAUAGUACAUUUUACUUUCUCAUUCACAAUUCUAUGUUGAAACAACAGGUGUAAUUUUUUUUAUUCAAUUUGUCCACUAAGUACUUUACAAUUGUCCUUUUGGCAUGCUGGAACUUAAUGUUUUAUCCAAUGCAUCUAUUCCAGUGAUGACAUGAUUAUAUUUUAAUUAAAGUCACUUAGAACUACAUUUACCAUGUAACUGAGGUAAAACAAAUUAGAGUAAACAAAUUGAACAAGUUAUAUGUGUAAGGUAUUAAUGCAGUGUCCAUGAAUUGCAUGCCAACUUUGUCUUGUUUUGUCUUGAAAAACCAUAGCUUAGAAGAACUAAACUACAAAAUGUAGUACCUUUCCCCUACAUCUUUUUCACCCGAGUAUUGUAUCAAAGGUAUCAAAAUUAUAAUCGUGUACAUGUAUGAAUAAAAAAAAAUUUACCUGUUCAUUGAUAUGCAUUUCAGAAGCUUGCCUGUAGAUGUUGUAUUUCUACACUUGAGUAAGAUGAGUUAACUCGCAUUUAGUGUGUUGAUAAGUAGAAUGUUAAGUCAUACUAUUCAAUAUGACCAUUACAAGGACAUGAUGUCCAUGUAACGGUGGUAUGUACAUUUGAAAGUGAUAUCUUGAAGGAGAUAUUUUAAAGUAAUAAAAGAUUUGGAGAUCAUAAGCUAGCACUCUUGUUUUUUUCCCCUUUAGACAGAAACAUAAUGUUUCCAGAGAUAGACAGAAGUGGAACCUUGAGGAUUGCCGUAGUAUUAUUUUAAAUAUAAUUUAUCAAUAAUUUUGUACAUUUUUCCUUGUUUAAACUCUAAUUUAAAUUGCUUUUAUUUGCAAAGAAUUUGACAUGAAAAAUGUUUUUCUUUAGUAUAAUCAAUUGAUCUUGUGCAAAUAUUCUAAGGCAUAAAGUGGAAUUUGGUGUGUAUUGGCCAUUAAUGGACCUUAACUUAACAAUGCUUCAAAGUAUACCUCUGUUACUGAGACAUGAUGUCCAUGUAACGGUGGUAUGUACAUUUGAAAGUAAUAUCUUGAAGGAGUUUUUUUAAAGUAAAAAGAUUUGGAGAUCAUAAGAUAGCACUGUUUCGUUUUUUCCCCUUUAGACAGAAACAUAAAUGUUUCCACAGAUAGACGGAAGUGGAAACUUGAGGAUUACCGUAGUAUGAUUUUAAAUAUAAUUUGUUAAUAAUUUUGUACAUUUUUCCUUUUUUAAACUCUAAUUUAAUUUGCUUUUAUUUGCAAAGAAUUUGACAUGAAAAAUGUUUUUCUUUAGUAUAAUCAAUUGAUCUUGUGCAAAUAUUCUAAGGCACAAAGUGGAAUUUGGUGUGUAAUGGCCAUUAAUGGACCUUAACUUAACAAUGCUUCAAAGUAUACCUCUGUUACUGAGACAUGAUGUCCAUGUAACGGUGGUAACACCAAAAAUAGAAGGUUAGGCCAGAAAGAGUAAUUGAGUUUUUCCAAAGAGAAUAUUCCAUUCUGUUGAGGCAUGACUUCUCUCAACUAUUUAGUUCUACAUGCCAUCAUAAAUUCAAUUUUCUA